GCCGGUCGACUACAACAAUACGUGAAGGUGGACAGGACUUAGCGAUACCAUGAUGGAUGGUCAAGCCCUAGACCAAGGAGCCCCAGGAUAUGUCGAAGAGCGGUUACGGGCCACCCUCUGGCGCAAUCGGGACGUGUUUGCUUGGACGGUGGCGGAUAUGUCGGGCAUACAUCCCUCUGUCAUGUCCCACAAGCUCUCGAUAUAUAAAGAGGCUCGGCC
rnacentral:lncRNA from 1 species